rnacentral:rRNA from 1 species
UACAGAGGUCUCAAGCGUUGUUCGGAUUCAUUGGGCGUAAAGGGUGCGUAGGCGGCGCGGUAAGUCGGGUGUGAAAUCUUGGAGCUUAACUCCGAAACUGCAUUCGAUACUGCCGUGCUUGAGGACUUGGAGAGGAGACUGGAAUUUACGGUGUAGCGGUGAAAUGCGUAGAUAUCGUAAGGAAGACCAGUGGCGAAGGCGGGUCUCUGGACAGUUCCUGACGCUGAGGCACGAAGGUCAGGGGAGCAAACGGG